rnacentral:rRNA from 1 species
GCAGUAAUGUAUGGAGCUGACCGGUACUAAUCGCCCGAGGGCUUGACCUA